rnacentral:rRNA from 1 species
UGGGGAAUAUUGGACAAUGGGGGAAACCCUGAUCCAGCAAUGCCGCGUGAGUGAGGAAGGCCUUAGGGUUGUAAAGCUCUUUCGCCCGCGAAGAUAAUGACGGUAGCGGGAGAAGAAGCCCCGGCUAACUCCGUGCCAGCAGCCGCGGUAAUACGGAGGGGGCUAGCGUUGUUCGGAAUUACUGGGCGUAAAGCGUACGUAGGCGGAUGCGCAAGUUGGGGGUGAAAUCCCGGGGCUUAACCUCGGAAUUGCCCUCAAAACUGCACGUCUUGAGACCGAGAGAGGUAAGGGGAAUUCCUAGUGUAGAGGUGAAAUUCGUAGAUAUUAGGAAGAACACCAGUGGCGAAGGCGCCUUACUGGCUCGGUACUGACGCUGAGGUACGAAAGCGUGGGGAGCAAACA